GAAAUAGAAAAUCUUAGUUACUCAAAUUGUCUCGGGAAGGUCUGAGUAAAGGUCAGUGGUACAGUCGGAUACCAAACCCUCUAGGCGGGGGCUCCGCUAACAGCGGUGGUGGGGACCCCAGCAACGCGGGCGCAUUAUCAAGUCCAGGAGUCCAGCAAGGAUGAGACGAGAUUCUGUUGACCCUUGGAAGUUUCCCUGCGACCAGCUAUUUCAGUUCAAUUUGUGACACGACGCAGCGGUCAUAACUCAAUUCAGACUAAUCUCCAGCUUGC
rnacentral:RNase_P_RNA from 2 species